CAGCAUCUCUUGCCAUCUCGCCUCUCUUCCCAGUUCAACAGUCUUGGACAACUCGAGAAAUUCAGGUUGGCCAGGAAGGCUACAGAAGCCGACCCUGGAUGACUUAAAUAAAAAAAGAAGAGUGAAUUGAAUGAAUGCGUCAAUUCACAGUCAUGAUGGCAAAACCGAAGAACAGGUUGAGAGGAUGGUCGGAGCCAUGGGAGAGAAAGGCGGUCAGAAUCACAACACAAAUCAGACCACAGUGCAGCCUGAGACAUCAGAAAGAAUCUCUACUGCUCUCGCUUCUCUGUCGCCGCCUCCAGAGUCAAAGCCCCAGGGGAAACAGCCAACUGGCCCCAGUUCCCAUGAAGUGAGGUAGGGUAAGACAAUUUGCCUUUUUUUUUUUUUACCUUCUGGAAUGAGAGA
rnacentral:lncRNA from 1 species